rnacentral:rRNA from 1 species
AGUCAUACGCUCGUCUCAAAGAUUAAGCCAUGCAUGUGUAAGUAUAAAUAAUUUUACUUUGAAACUGCGAAUGGCUCAUUAUAUCAGUUAUAGUUUAUUAGAAAUAUUUUACUACUUGGAUAACCGUAGUAAUUCUAGGGCUAAUACAUGAGUAAAACCUCAACUUCGGAAGAGGUGUGUUUAUUAGUAUGAAAACCAUAUAUCUUCGGAUAUAAUAGUGAGUAAUAAUAACCUUUCAUAUCGUAUGUCGUAAGAUAACGAUAGUUCUUUCAAGUUUCUGCCCUAUCAGCUUUCGAUGGUAGUAUAUGGGACUACCAUGGCAGUAACGGGUAACGAAGAAUUUGGGUUCGAUUUCGGAGAGGGAGCCUGAGAGAUGGCUACCACAUCCAAGGAAGGCAGCAGGCGCGUAAAUUACCCAAUCCUGACAUAGGGAGGUAGUGACAAUAAAUCACAAUGCGGAACUUUUAGUUUUGCAAUUGGAUUGAGAACAAUGUACAAAUGUUAUCGAUAAACAAUUGGAGGGCAAGUCUGGUGCCAGCAGCCGCGGUAAUUCCAGCUCCAAUAGCGUAUAUUAA